rnacentral:rRNA from 1 species
UACGUAGGUGGCAAGCGUUGUCCGGAAUUAUUGGGCGUAAAGCGCGCGCAGGCGGCCUCUUAAGUCUGAUGUGAAAGUCCCCGGCUCAACCGGGGAGGGCCAUUGGAAACUGGGAGGCUUGAGUAUAGGAGAGAAGAGUGGAAUUCCACGUGUAGCGGUGAAAUGCGUAGAGAUGUGGAGGAAGCACCGGUGGCGAAGGCGACUCUUUGGCCUAUAACUGACGCUGAGGCGCGAAAGCGUGGGGAGCAAACAGG